AGCUUGUUCACCUCAUCUCGGGGAGUCCAAUGGGCCCCUUCUUGAACACCAUAGACUUGAAAUGCUCACAGAUCAAUUUCAGUGCUCAAUUCAUGUGCUUUCAUUGCUUAGGAUGAAAAAAAAAUACUUGGUAAAAUGAUGGCAAAAUAAAAACCUGAGCUUUCUGUUUAAUUUUCAUAACGUACCACUCUUCAAGGAAAAGAAGGGCACUGCACAGAGUAACACACAAUAGUAUUCCUCACACUCAGCAAAAGGAGGACAGAACAUGCGUUCUAUGACAGCCUGGACUACAGAGUGAGAGGAAUUUAAAGCAUAAAAAAUAAAUUGAGCACAAGUCCCUUCCGCUCGACUUGAGCCCCGGGCUACCUUGCCAGCAGAGUCUUGCCCAACACCCGCAAGGGCCCACACGGGACCCCCGACGGGAUCCUAAGACCUCUGGGUUCCCAGGAUCAGUCCAAUGGUUGGUUAUAAGUAUCUACAUGUGUCUCAGUAAGGUGUUGGCUGAGUCUCUCAGAGGAUAGCCAUGCCAGGCUCCUGUCUGCAAGCACAUCUUGGCAUCAGCAAUAGUGUCCGGUUUAGUGUACAGCCAUGGGAUGGAUUCCAAGCCCACAGGGAACAGGUUACAUUCAUUUAAGAAAUGGUGUGUGUAUUAAGAUGGUCUAUCCAUGAAGUUAUUCAUAAACUGUUUCAAUGAAGAAUGGUCUGCGUUGAGAAGAGCACAGACAUUAAGAGAGGAGCCAGGAAUAUCAAAUAAGAGAUGAUAAGCAGAAACAUCUUCAACAGUCACUACAGGAGAGGCCACACCUGCAGGUGCAGCAGGAAAACCAGCCUCUACAGUCAAAACAGAAGCAGCCACCACCACCACCACCACCACCUAGAAAACCAGCAAGAAGAUUUGAGUGAUCAUCUCAAGGCCAGUUUCAUCAGUAACCAAGAAUGCAAUGUCAGAAACAAAAAGAAGACCUAAGAUGAAAAUGUCCUUAGAAGAUUAUGACAUAGGAGAUAUGUAGUUAUAUCUUUAUCUUUACUCUACCAAUAAACUGUUAAGC
rnacentral:lncRNA from 1 species